AAUUGACGGGACCCGCACAAGCAGCGGAGCGUGUGGUUUAAUUCGUUGCUACACGAAGAACCUUACCUGGGUUUGACAUAUAGGUUGUAGGGAACUGAAAGGGACCGACCCUUCGGGGAGCCUAUACAGGUGUUGCAUGGCUGUCGUCAGCUCGUGUCGUGAGAUGUUCGGUUAAGUCCGCUAACGAGCGCAACCCUCGUCGUAUGUUAUAUGUGUCAUACGAGACUGCCGGUAAAAAGCCGGAGGAAGGUGAGGAUGAUGUCAAGUCAGCAUGACCUUUAUAUCCAGGGCUACACACACGCUACAAUGGUCUGUACAAUGGGUAGCCAAGCCGCGAGGCGGAGCCAAUCCUGAAAGCAGGCCUCAGUUCAGAUUGCAGUCUGCAACUCGACUGCAUGAAGCCGGAGUUGCUAGUAACCGCAGGUCAGCAAUACUGCGGUGAAUACGUUCCCGGGUCUU
rnacentral:rRNA from 1 species